GCCUUGGGGAGCAGAGAUAGCUCAGUAGGUAGAGCAUGAGACUCUUAAUCUCAGAGUCAUAGGUUCAUACCACACAUUGGGUA